AUACGUAGGGUGCAAGCGUUAAUCGGAAUUACUGGGCGUAAAGCGUGCGCAGGCGGUUUUGUAAGAAAGUGGUGAAAUCCCCGGGCUCAACCUGGGAACUGCCAUUGUGACUGCAAGGCUGGAGUGCGGCAGAGGGGGAUGGAAUUCCGCGUGUAGCAGUGAAAUGCGUAGAUAUGCGGAGGAACACCGAUGGCGAAGGCAAUCCCCUGGGCCUGCACUGACGCUCAUGCACGAAAGCGUGGGGAGCAAACAGGAUUAGAUACCCUGGUAGUCCACGCCCUAAACGAUGUCAACUGGUUGUUGGGGAUUUAUUUUCUCAGUAACGAAGCUAACGCGUGAAGUUGACCGCCUGGGGAGUACGGCCGCAAGGUUAAAACUCAAAGGAAUUGACGGGG
rnacentral:rRNA from 1 species